rnacentral:rRNA from 1 species
AUACGUAGGGUGCGAGCGUUGUCCGAAAUUACUGGGCGUAAAGAGCUCGUAGGUGGUUUGUCGCGUCGUCUGUGAAAUUCCGGGGCUUAACUCCGGGCGUGCAGGCGAUACGGGCAUAACUUGAGUACUGUAGGGGAGACUGGAAUUCCUGGUGUAGCGGUGAAAUGCGCAGAUAUCAGGAGGAACACCGGUGGCGAAGGCGGGUCUCUGGGCAGUAACUGACGCUGAGGAGCGAAAGCAUGGGUAGCGAACAGGAUUAGAUACCCUGGUAGUCCAUGCCGUAAACGGUGGGCGCUAGGUGUAGGGGUCUUCCACGACUUCUGUGCCGUAGCUAACGCAUUAAGCGCCCCGCCUGGGGAGUACGGCCGCAAGGCUAAAACUCAAAGGAAUUGACGGGG